CGGAGAAUGUUAUCACGGGAGACACACGGCGGGUGCUAACGUCCGUCGUGAAGAGGGAAACAACCCAGACCGCCAGCUAAGGUCCCAAAGUCAUGGUUAAGUGGGAAACGAUGUGGGAAGGCCCAGACAGCCAGGAUGUUGGCUUAGAAGCAGCCAUCAUUUAAAGAAAGCGUAAUAGCUCACUGGUCGAGUCGGCCUGCGCGGAAGAUGUAACGGGGCUAAACCAUGCACCGAAGCUGCGGCAGCGACGCUGAUGCGUUGUUGGGUAGGGGAGCGUUCUGUAAGCCUGCGAAGGUGUGUCGUGAGGCAUGCUGGAGGUAUCAGAAGUGCGAAUGCUGACAUAAGUAACGAUAAAGCGGGUGAAAAGCCCGCUCGCCGGAAGACCAAGGGUUCCUGUCCAACGUUAAUCGGGGCAGGGUGAGUCGACCCCUAAGGCGAGGCCGAAAGGCGUAGUCGAUGGGAAACGGGUUAAUAUUCCCGUACUUGGUGUUACUGCGAAGGGGGGACGGAGAAGGCUAUGUUGGCCGGGCGACGGUUGUCCCGGUUUAAGCGUAUAGGUGUGUGUUCCAGGUAAAUCCGGUUCACUUUAACACUGAGGCGUGAUGACGAGGCGCUACGGUGCUGAAGCAACAAAUGCCCUGCUUCCAGGAAAAGCCUCUAAGCAUCAGGUAACAUCAAAUCGUACCCCAAACCGACACAGGUGGUCAGGUAGAGAAUACCAAGGCGCUUGAGAGAACUCGGGUGAAGGAACUAGGCAAAAUGGUGCCGUAACUUCGGGAGAAGGCACGCUGACAUGUAGGUGAAGUGAUUUACUCAUGGAGCUGAAGUCAGUCGAAGAUACCAGCUGGCUGCAACUGUUUAUUAAAAACACAGCACUGUGCAAACACGAAAGUGGACGUAUACGGUGUGACGCCUGCCCGGUGCCGGAAGGUUAAUUGAUGGGGUCAGCGCAAGCGAAGCUCCUGAUCGAAGCCCCGGUAAACGGCGGCCGUAACUAUAACGGUCCUAAGGUAGCGAAAUUCCUUGUCGGGUAAGUUCCGACCUGCACGAAUGGCGUAAUGAUGGCCAGGCUGUCUCCACCCGAGACUCAGUGAAAUUGAACUCGCUGUGAAGAUGCAGUGUACCCGCGGCAAGACGGAAAGACCCCGUGAACCUUUACUAUAGCUUGACACUGAACAUUGAGCCUUGAUGUGUAGGAUAGGUGGGAGGCUUUGAAGUGUGGACGCCAGUCUGCAUGGAGCCGACCUUGAAAUACCACCCUUUAAUGUUUGAUGUUCUAACGUGGACCCGUGAUCCGGGUUGCGGACAGUGUCUGGUGGGUAGUUUGACUGGGGCGGUCUCCUCCUAAAGAGUAACGGAGGAGCACGAAGGUUGGCUAAUCCUGGUCGGACAUCAGGAGGUUAGUGCAAUGGCAUAAGCCAGCUUGACUGCGAGCGUGACGGCGCGAGCAGGUGCGAAAGCAGGUCAUAGUGAUCCGGUGGUUCUGAAUGGAAGGGCCAUCGCUCAACGGAUAAAAGGUACUCCGGGGAUAACAGGCUGAUACCGCCCAAGAGUUCAUAUCGACGGCGGUGUUUGGCACCUCGAUGUCGGCUCAUCACAUCCUGGGGCUGAAGUAGGUCCCAAGGGUAUGGCUGUUCGCCAUUUAAAGUGGUACGCGAGCUGGGUUUAGAACGUCGUGAGACAGUUCGGUCCCUAUCUGCCGUGGGCGCUGGAGAACUGAGGGGGGCUGCUCCUAGUACGAGAGGACCGGAGUGGACGCAUCACUGGUGUUCGGGUUGUCAUGCCAAUGGCACUGCCCGGUAGCUAAAUGCGGAAGAGAUAAGUGCUGAAAGCAUCUAAGCACGAAACUUGCCCCGAGAUGAGUUCUCCCUGAGACUU
rnacentral:rRNA from 1 species